rnacentral:rRNA from 1 species
UACAGAGGGUGCGAGCGUUGUUCGGAAUUAUUGGGCGUAAAGGGCGCGUAGGCGGUGCCACAAGUCACCUGUGAAAUCCCCGGGCUUAACUCGGGGCCUGCAGGCGAAACUGUGGUGCUGGAGUAUGGGAGAGGUGCGUGGAAUUCCCGGUGUAGCGGUGAAAUGCGUAGGAUAUCGGGAGGAACACCUGUGGCGAAAGCGGCGCACUGGACCAUAACUGACGCUGGAGGCGCGAAAGCUAGGGGAGCAAACAGG